AGGCUACAUCUGUGGAACACUAAUAGCACUUUUCCUUCAACAGACAAGUUUAAUGACUGUGUGACUCCUUGCUGUGACUGCUACAACUUGCUACCUGUCUAAAGAUGAAACGUAGUAAGACGCAAGCAAUUGGUGUACCCUGUCUAACUGCUUCCGCGCUAGUGCGACCAGCUAGCAUCUUUACUAUCGUAAGAAAGAAAAGCAUGAAAAUGCUUUUUGGGACUGAAAGUUUAGUGUAGUAGACGAGAGUGAAAACGGAGCCAAUCAUCAGUAUUUAAGCCCGGAGUGUUAGAACCGGUUAACCGCUUACCAGGCAGCGCUGACAGCCUACGCUUGCAGUACCUGCAGAAGACCAAAAGCAGCUGGUAAACUAAACUGCCUUCCCAGAGCAGCUGCUAAGCAAGAGGAACUGCCCAAAGGAAGCACUGGGCUCCUAGGAAGAGGUAGUAGGUUGCAUAGUUUUAGGGCAGGGAUUUUGCUCGCAAGGAGGUAACUAUACAACCUGCUGCCUUUCUUAGGGCUUUAUUAUAACACCAGGACCGUUUUGGCUCCGUCCUAACCUCUGCAGCUUUGGUACGUGAAGAGAAGUGACGCUAUUUCUGAACGCGCUGAGGCUUAAUGAAACCGGCGUAUCGGCAGACUCGGUACCACACUCGAGCAUGGUAUCGCUAGCUGGGAUUCAGCAUGGCGACACGCUGCGUUUGGGGGUGCACUCGCCACUCCGGUGAUGUUGGAAGGCAACUCCUUUGAGAGUUAAGAUCGAGUUCCCCGCCAUUAGGAUGGAAGUGGUACGUGCGUCCAGUUGGGGUACUAAUACUAAAACAGGUAGCUACAAUUCAUCGUCCUUUGGCUUUGUGCGUUUCAGGUGAAAAAACUAAAAGUUUUCCUUCCCCAGAAGGAUCAGCUUACAGCUCACCUGAAAGCUGGUGGUUUCUCGACAGGUACGGGCACUCCGUUCUAGUAAAGCAAGCUCUCAAUUAUUUGCAGUCUUGCAGGAGGGAAGUUUUCAGUGAGUUAAAAUGAAUGAUUGCAGGGUUUGUCUCUCAUGGAAUUGUAUGCUAAAAAGUACGCCGUCAUUUUUUAUCCUGCACUGCAGCAAUAGUUCUGGUCGGGCUUCAGCCGGACA